CGCGCUUUGGGGUUGGACGAUGGCUGAUUAGCUAGUUGGUGGGGUAAAGGCCUACCAAGGCGACGAUCAUUAGCUGGUCUGAGAGGACGACGAGCCACACUGGGACUGAGACACGGACCAUACUCCUACGGGAGGCAGCAGUAGGGAAUUUUGAACAAUGAGUGAAAGCCUGAUCCAGCUAUGCCGCGUGUGUGACGAAGGACUUCAGGUCGGUAGCACUAUUGACGGAAAGAAAACUUGACUCUAAUACCGUCGGUGGAUGAAGAUAGCUAACAAUAAGCACAAUCUCAGUACGUGCCCGCACCUCGGUAACACUUAAAGUACGAG
rnacentral:rRNA from 1 species